rnacentral:rRNA from 1 species
UACAGAGGAUGCAAGCGUUAUUCGGAAUUAUUGGGCGUAAAGGGCGCGUAGGCGGCCUGGCAAGUGGAAGGUGAAAUCCCUCGGCUUAACCGAGGAACUGCCCUCCAAACUGCUUGGCUUGAGUCCGGGAGAGGUGAGUGGAAUUCCCAGUGUAGCGGUGAAAUGCGUAGAUAUUGGGAGGAACACCAGUGGCGAAGGCGGCUCACUGGACCGGAACUGACGCUGAGGCGCGAAAGCGUGGGGAGCAAACGGG